AUGCCCCCAUCGGGUCUACACAAUGUCGCGUUCGAGCUGACAGUGUUGGAUGGAUGCUUGUGCCUUCAUUAUGGAAAUGAUGCUACUAGCGGCGACGACACUAGUUUUUACAUCUGGCGGCUAAGCCCGCCAUAUCAUGGUCAUGGGGCUGGGCAAUGUGAGCAGCUUUGCUGCAUCCGACGACAGGCUUGGCCAGAAGCUCUGUUAAAUUUAGACUGGAUCUCUCCGCUUGAAAUCUACCGCGGUGCUGACGGACACAAGAAGAUUUUGUUUGCCACUUGCACUCUCACGGUGUUCACGCUAGACAUCGAGCUUAAUGGUGAUUGCGCACCAGAGACCGUACUCUCGCCGCCGAUAGGCGAUCCUCUCAUGGAUAGCUUCAUCGGGAUCAAUUCCAGCUCCCAUGCCGUUGGUUUGCUGGAGGAGUGCCUUGUGCCCGUAGGCCGUCCAAGUGAGGAAAUCAUCUUCUCUUCGCUGUCUAACAGGGCUUGGUCCAACGUUCUCAAGUGGUUGCCAACGUGGUCGGUUGUUCCUUUGAGGCGUGUUUGCAAAGACUGGUGUGCACUAAUUAAGAGCGAUCGGUUCAUAAAGCUACACACUAUCCAUGCAAACAUAGGCCUAAAGACACCCCAAAUCAUGCUCAUCUCGGCUGUCGACGCGCUUUUCACGCAUCUAGGUUGGAGAGAGCUUCAGCAGAUGGAACUUGGGGCAUUCCUGUUUUGUGGCAGCAUGAAAGUGGUGUGCUCUAAGCCAUGCCAUGGUCUCGUUGUUGGUAGUUGCACCAUGCCGAGCUUUUCAUUUGAUUUCAUAUGCAAUCCUACCAUGGGUUAUUACAAGCGGAUGGAUCUAGAUCCCGAGGCGGACUCCACUUUUGCUGCUGGCAGGAUCGGGCUAGGGUAUGAUUCAAGGACGAAUAAGCAUGUACGAGUACGUCUUGUGUACCAUGAGAGGAACAUGAGGACUGGGAAUUAUCGAUUUGGGUGUUUUGUCCAUCUCACCGACACAGAAACAUGGAGGCCAAUCAGCCCUCAGGCAAGCUCUACUGGAUGGUUGAUCCAAAUCUUGGGACAAAGUCUUCUCUAG
rnacentral:rRNA from 1 species